UACGGAGGGUGCAAACGUUGCUCGGAAUUAUUGGGCGUAAAGCGCACGUAGGUGGUCUGUUUAGUCGGGUGUGAAAGCCCUGGGCUCAACCCAGGAAGUGCACUCGAUACUGGCAGGCUUGAGUAUGGAAGAGGGUCGCGGAAUUCCCGGUGUAGAGGUGAAAUUCGUAGAUAUCAGGAGGAACACCGGUGGCGAAGGCGGGUCUCUGGGCCGUAACUGACACUGAGGAACGAAAGCUAGGGGAGCAAAUGGG
rnacentral:rRNA from 1 species